rnacentral:rRNA from 1 species
UACGAAGGGGGCUAGCGUUGCUCGGAAUCACUGGGCGUAAAGGGUGCGUAGGCGGGUUUUAAGUCAGAGGUGAAAUCCUGGAGCUCAACCCCAGAACUGCCUUUGAUACUGAAAGUCUUGAGUAUGGGAGAGGUGAGUGGAACUGCGAGUGUAGAGGUGAAAUUCGUAGAUAUUCGCAAGAACACCAGUGGCGAAGGCGGCUCACUGGCCCAUUACUGACGCUGAGGCACGAAAGCGUGGGGAGCAAACAGG